rnacentral:lncRNA from 1 species
GGUGCAUGGUGGCGGAAGUGAACAGCAGAACUGGCACAGUCAGUGCUGUUCUCUGGGCCUCUCCUACUUACCUCCAAGGAUGCCAUGCACACGACUUUGUUAGCGUGAUAGAAGAAAGCAGGCAGGACGUCGAAGAUGGUUGUUUCUGAAAUUAUUAACUUCUAUGGGAAAUGAAAAGGGGAAACAAGGAAAAGUAAAUGUAAACAAGUUUCAGGUUUUUCUUUGUUUUUGUUUAUUUGAGAUAAGCUGGAGUGCAGUGGUGUGAUCAUAGCUCACUGCAGCCUCAAACUCCCAGCCUGAAGUGAUCCUCCCACCUCAGCCUCUUGAGUAGAUGGGACUACAGCGUGCACCAACAUGCCUGGCUCUUUUUUUGUUUGUUUGUUUGUUUGUAUGUUUUGUAGAGACAGGGUCUCACUAUGUUGCCCAGGCUGGCCUCAAAUUCCUGGGCUCAAGUGAUCCUCCAGUCUUGGCCUCCCGAGUGCUGGGAUUACAGGCAUGAGCCAUCUGCGCCCAGUCAGUGAGUAAGUUUUUUAAUCACCAGUCUGAUGAGUGGGGGCGGUAGAAACAGGGAGAAGUCAUGCUUCGACCACUAAAAGCAAUCAGUGCCCUGCAGUGCACUGGGUUCCUCCCGUUUAAUCACGGGAGAGCUGACGGUGAAGAACUCUGGGAUGAUGGCACCUGGGACAGGUCUCCCAACAGGCACUGAGGGGGUACCUGAGAGCGUGUAAAUGAGCCAGAGUCCAGAAACAGGGAAGAUGAGGCCAUCAUUCAGCCAUGGGAGGGCUCACAGCUUCCAGAUAUGCUCCAUUACGGCUAAGGUUUGUAAACUGCACCAGGUGAGCCCCCGCUGCUGUCACACUGUCCUUCCUGCAGGACUGGGCUCCGUGCCCACCUCUCCUAGAGUCUCCCCAGGUGCCCCCUUGGGCAGCCCUGGCCACGUUGGGCUAAACUGCCUGCAUCUGUGACUGUGCCCUGCACCCCACUGAGCACCUGGAGGGGCAAGAGGAGCCGCUUCCCCAGCGGCCCCCACCUGGGCCACAGUGUGUGCUCUGCAGAAGGUGAAAGGAAGGAGACGGGCUCACCUUGAGGUUCUCGGGGCAGAACUGAUGGCCGUACAUGUCAAUGGCAGACAGGAAAAUGGACUCCACCUGGUUGUGCCGCAGCUCAUAGGAGGGGAGGUGGGAGGCAAUCAGGAUCUGCAGGGGGAGGGACGGGGGGCUGGUGUGAGCCAACCUCCCAGGGGAGAAGGCAGAGGCUCGGACACGGGCCGGCAGCGUGGUGGGACCCUGCAUGGUGAGGGCUGAGCACAGUAGGGGCCACACAGGAGGGUGGGGGGAAGCGCACAUCAUGGGGACCGCACCCCGAAACCCUACCUGCCGGGCUCUGAGGGCCACUUUGCAGUGCUCGCUUUUGCUCAGCUGAGUGAGCUCAUUAAGGAUGGAGGUCAGCUCGUCCGAUAGGGAAGGGUCUGGGCCACACAGCUCAUCCUUAAGGGACAAAAAAAGAAGCCAAAUGGCUUUUCUCCAGCCCAGGGAAACAUGCAGCACUCAUCUUGGCUGGGGGAGCGCCCGCCCCAAAAGCCAGACAGCUGCUCCGCUCUCCAAACAGGCCCGGCACAGCCUGAUAUGCAAAUCCUCACCACUUUCUCCUGUCAUUCAUUCAUUCAUUCAUUCACUCACUCACUCACUCACUUGGCCACCCAUUCAUCCACCCCAAAACAUGCCCUAAAUGCCUGGUAAGAACAAACAAAUACAACUAAACCCCUGCCUACAUUACUAUAAAUAGCCAGUGAUAAGGCCAGGUGUGAUGACUCACACCUGUAAUCCCAGCACUUUAGGUGGCUGAGGCAGGAGGAUCACUUGAGCUUAGGAGUUUGAGACCAGCCUGGGCAACAGGGCAAAACCUCAUCUCUAUAUAAAAAAAAAUAUAUAAAAAUUAGCCAGGCAUGGUGGCACGUGCCUGUAGUCCCAGCUACUCGGGAUCCGUUGGGAGGUGGAGGUUGCAGUGAGCUGAGAUUGCACCACUGCACUUCAGCUAGACUCUGUCUCCAAAAAAAAAAAAAAAAA